rnacentral:ncRNA from 1 species
UGCUCCGGUGGGCUCGCCAGUCCUUCCAAGGAACGAACGGAAGGAAAGGACCCCUCCAAACCCCACCCCUCCCCCCGUUCAGGACGCCCUCACCCUCUCGGGUGAAAAAGGUCAAUUGGGCUGGCGCUGGGGCGGGUUGGACGUUCUAGGCUCACCAUGCAUAUACCGCAGACAUACGUCGGCCCCCGCCCGGGCUAGCACCCCGGGGCGAGGGCCUGACCACGCAGGAAGCAAAGACCUUCCCG